rnacentral:pre_miRNA from 1 species
AAUAAGAUUAUUUUUUAGUUUUUAUACAAUGUUUUGACUUUUCGUCUUAUUUGAAAUUUUUUUGCGAUUAAUAUUUUUGUUCUUACUAGAUGAUAAAGCAUGAAUAGUACUUAUGCGUAACUAAUUUUUUUAAGUUUUUGUACAAAUUUUUCAAAUAAGACGAAUAGUCAAACGUUAGACACGGAAAA